GAUGCGCCGCCGCGCUCUCUCUUCGACGGCAUCACAUCCUCAAACUCGUCAGGCCACCAUCUUCAUCCCCAUGCCCCGUCCGUCGCAGCAGCCCACCAAAAGCAGGUGGGGCGAUUUGUUGGCGGUGGCAUCCACCGUGGCGACAGCAUCGACCUCCACGGCGGCCGUAACUAGGGACGAUGGCGGCGAAAUUUGACGGCGGAGACCUGCACCACGACCCCUCCAGCAAUGAUCGUUGAUUUGUCAUGUCGAGAGAGUGUUUGAUGAAUUUUAAAAAUCUAAGCAGGCUGUAUGUGAAGUGAACCAAGUUUAGGUACACUCCUUGAAAUGAGUUAAGUGAAGAAAGUUGUAUGUAGCGGUGUGUGAUCCAUCCAAAUAAAUAUAUUUGAAGAGAGGAGGCUCUGGGCAAAUGCAGUGCAAAGACGCUGAUAACCAGCAUUUUGCCUUGGUCUAUGAGAGCUGUGUACCGCUGCAUGACUUUGAUUAUUUAUAUAGUAAUCUCAUGGGAACAAGCAUCAGCUUUGUUGCCUCGUAACUGAAUGUCCUGAAGUUUCAGUGAUCCCGGUCCACAUGGAGCAUGUAGGUACUCUGACAAUAUGUUACAUGAUAUGGUCAAGAGAGAUUGGAGAAAAGGUGCACAGUGUCUCGCAGUGAACCAGCAGCAUGCUGUUUUAUUCUUUCUGGCACUUUACCACGGAAAGUUCAAAUGCUACUGUAAGAAUAUCGAUGGAUGAGAUGGCGGUGGUUACAUUGACAAGUCAGCGAGCAUCACUGCCAAACACCUUAUGCCACACUGCCCCGACUCUCCGCUCCAUAGGUGAUAUGCCAGGCAAGGACGCCCUCCUUUUCUCGAUUUGAUGCUUGUUCAGGUGAAUAUAGCUUUCUCUUUAUUGAUUUGAUGCCUAGGUUUGCUUAGUGACGUCAAUGCUGUGUAAAAAUUUGGAGAAGGAUCACGAGCUUUGAAUUUUUUGGUUAGUGUUUGCAAAGCUCACCUCGAGAUAGCUGACCCACAUCGGGAUCUGGCAUUUCUUAUACAUGUUCUGUGCAUCACCUAAUUGGCCUUCAAUGCGGUAGAGAGAACACACUGAUUUCAAUUCAUGUUUCUGCCGCUUGAGUGAGAACUAUCUGAUUCAGUUCAUUUUCGCACGCUCUCAGUUGUUGUCGUACUUCAGAGUUGAUAUUUCGGACAACCAAGUGGAAACUGUCAACUUUUACAUUCUUCGUUGGACAUGUUUUUGCUUAGUUGUUUCUAGAGCUGUCAUAUUUCUUUUGCCACACCAGCAACUGGAUAUAAACACUACUUUGUGGUUGCUACCCUUGUGAUUCCCCCCUCAAUAAAUUUCAGCAUUUUGGUUAGCUAUCUUGAAAGUACCUUUUGUCGUUUCAGUGCAGCAUGAGCAUAGUGUGAGAUGAAGUUUUUUGUUUGCUCGUCGGCAUACAACUGAUUUGUUAUCAUAUGAACCCAUGAGUCAUAUGAACCUGGUUCUUUUCAGGCAUAGCUUUCCUUCAUUUAUCAAAGCAUUUCAAAUACUAAACCUGAUCUUAUUUAUUAUUUGUUGCAGUGUUCAUUGUUUGAGUAGCCUACCAGUUUUGCAUAAGUUUGCUUUGUCCUGACAAAUAGUUGUUUCACAAUACCUUAGAACUGAAUUUCCUUCAUAGCUUCGGUUAACUUAUCUCUGGUUGUUGCCUGCGUUUCUUGUUUUCUGAUAGAUAUGCAGAUGCUUUAGUGCUAGCCUGCUGCAUUUAGGUUCAGAGGAUCUGCUCUUUUUGGGACUUCCAAUCUGCUUGCUAGGCUGCAAGCCUGUUUAUUCUACUCAGAUAAUGAUUAUUCAAUUGAUUCCAGGACGCACAGAUUUUUAGCAAAGUGCAUCUUAUGUUCACCCUUUGUUUCAUCUUCACAAGACAGUGGGAGUGUUUUUAUUUUAGUUCUUAAAAAUUUUCGUUGCUCUACCUUGGAACCUGAGAACAAAUAUGACUUGUGUAUGCAGAGUGCCACCAUCAUGUAUUAUAGUUUUUUAUUUAUUUCCUUUUUACUUAUGAAAUAUUUUGAUGUAUCUUUCAUUAUGAACUUCGCCUUGUUGCUUUGCUAAUAUU